rnacentral:rRNA from 1 species
AUUGAACGCUGGCGGCAGGCCUAACACAUGCAAGUCGAACGGUAACAGGAAGCAGCUUGCUGCUUCGCUGACGAGUGGCGGACGGGUGAGUAAUGUCUGGGAAACUGCCUGAUGGAGGGGGAUAACUACUGGAAACGGUAGCUAAUACCGCAUAACGUCGCAAGACCAAAGAGGGGGACCUUAGGGCCUCUUGCCAUCGGAUGUGCCCAGAUGGGAUUAGCUAGUAGGUGGGGUAACGGCUCACCUAGGCGACGAUCCCUAGCUGGUCUGAGAGGAUGACCAGCCACACUGGAACUGAGACACGGUCCAGACCCCUACGGGAGGCAGCAGUGGGGAAUAUUGCACAAUGGGCGCAAGCCUGAUGCAGCCAUGCCGCGCGUAUGAAGAAGGCCUUCGGGUUGUAAAGUACUUUCAGCGGGGAGGAAGGGAGUAAAGUUAAUACCUUUGCUCAUUGACGUUACCCGCAGAAGAAGCACCGGCUAACUCCGUG